AGAGCGAACGCUGGCGGCAGGCUUAACACAUGCAAGUCGAGCGGGCGUAGCAAUACGUCAGCGGCAGACGGGUGAGUAACGCGUGGGAACAUACCUUUUGGUUCGGAACAACACAGGGAAACUUGUGCUAAUACCGGAUAAGCCCUUACGGGGAAAGAUUUAUCGCCGAAAGAUUGGCCCGCGUCUGAUUAGCUAGUUGGUGAGGUAACGGCUCACCAAGGCGACGAUCAGUAGCUGGUCUGAGAGGAUGAUCAGCCACAUUGGGACUGAGACACGGCCCAAACUCCUACGGGAGGCAGCAGUGGGGAAUAUUGGACAAAUGGGCGCAAGCCUGAUCCAGCCAUGCCGCGUGAGUGAUGAAGGCCCUAGGGUUGUAAAGCUCUUUUGUGCGGGAAGAUAAUGACGGUACGCAAGAAAUAAGCCCGGCUAACUUCGUGCCAGCAGCCGC
rnacentral:rRNA from 1 species